AUUGAACGCUGGCGGCAGGCCUAACACAUGCAAGUCGAGCGGGGUUUUCGGACCUAGCGGCGGACGGGUGAGUAAUGCGUAGGAAGCUGCCCGAUAGAGGGGGAUACCAGUUGGAAACGACUGUUAAUACCGCAUAAUGUCUACGGACCAAAGUGUGGGACCUUCGGGCCACAUGCUAUCGGAUGCGCCUACGUGGGAGUAGCUAGUUGGUGAGGUAAUGGCUCACCAAGGCGACGAUGUCUAGCUGGUUUGAGCGGAUGAUCAGGCACACUGGAACUGAGACAGGGUCCAGACUCAUACGGGAGGCAUGAGUGGGGAAUAUUGGACAAUGGGCGCAAGCCUGAUCCAGCCAUGCCGCGUGUGUGAAGAAGGCCUUCGGGUUGUAAAGCACUUUCAGCGAGGAGGAAGGGUGGUGUGUUAAUAGCACAUCAUUUUGACGUUACUCGCAGAAGAAGCACCGGCUAACUCUGUGCCAGCAGCCGCCGUAACAC
rnacentral:rRNA from 1 species